CCUACGGGAGACAGCAGUGGGGAAUAUUGCACAAUGGGGGAAACCCUGAUGCAGCGACGCCGCGUGAGUGAAGAAGUAUUUCGGUAUGUAAAGCUCUAUCAGCAGGGAAGAAGAAAGACGGUACCUGACUAAGAAGCCCCGGCUAACUACGUGCCAGCAGCCGCGGUAAUACGUAGGGGGCAAGCGUUAUCCGGAUUUACUGGGUGUAAGGGGAGCGUAGACGGCUGUGCAAGUCUGAAGUGAAAGCCCAGGGCUCAACCCUGGGACUGCUUUGGAAACUGUGGAGCUAGAGUGCUGGAGAGGUAAGUGGAAUUCCUAGUGUAGCGGUGAAAUGCGUAGAUAUUAGGAGGAACACCAGUGGCGAAGGCGGCUUACUGGACAGUAACUGACGUUGAGGCUCGAAAGCGUGGGGAGCAAACAGGAUUAGAUACCCGGGUAGUC
rnacentral:rRNA from 1 species